GUCCACAACAACCCCACCUUGAAGGCGCCCGACCUCGGAAGUCAAGCAGGGUCGGGCCUGGUUGCUUGGAUGAGAGAAGGGACCUUUGGAGAGGUCA
rnacentral:rRNA from 1 species